rfam:TPA: Bos taurus chromosome 11, whole genome shotgun sequence.
UCCCUGGUGGCUCAGCUGGUAAAGAAUCUGCCUGUAAUAUGGGAGACCUGGGUUCGAUCCCUAGCUUGGGAA